UACGGAGGGUGCGAGCGUUGUUCGGAAUUAUUGGGCGUAAAGCGCGUGUAGGCGGUUUGUUAAGUCUGAUGUGAAAGCCCCGGGCUCAACCUGGGAAGUGCAUUGGAUACUGGCAGACUUGAAUACGGGAGAGGGUAGUGGAAUUCCUGGUGUAGGAGUGAAAUCCGUAGAUAUCAGGAGGAACACCGGUGGCGAAGGCGGCUACCUGGACCGAUAUUGACGCUGAGACGCGAAAGCGUGGGGAGCAAACAGG
rnacentral:rRNA from 2 species